rnacentral:rRNA from 1 species
AUUGAACGCUGGCGGCAGGCCUAACACAUGCCAGUCGAGCGGAUGAAGGGAGCUUGCUCCUGGAUUCAGCGGCGGACGGGUGAGUAAUGCCUAGGAAUCUGCCUGGUAGUGGGGGAUAACGUCCGGAAACGGGCGCUAAUACCGCAUACGUCCUGAGGGAGAAAGUGGGGGAUCUUCGGACCUCACGCUAUCAGAUGAGCCUAGGUCGGAUUAGCUAGUUGGUGGGGUAAAGGCCUACCAAGGCGACGAUCCGUAACUGGUCUGAGAGGAUGAUCAGUCACACUGGAACUGAGACACGGUCCAGACUCCUACGGGAGGCAGCAGUGGGGAAUAUUGGACAAUGGGCGAAAGCCUGAUCCAGCCAUGCCGCGUGUGUGAAGAAGGUCUUCUGAUUGUAAAGCACUUUAAGUUGGGAGGAAGGGCAGUAAGUUAAUACCUUGCUGUUUUGACGUUACCAACAGAAUAAGCACCGGCUAACUUCGUG